rnacentral:piRNA from 1 species
UGGGACAAACUGUGUUAGCACUUGUG